rnacentral:tRNA from 1 species
GCGGAUGUAGCUCAGUUGGUAGAGCAUCGGCUUCCCAAGCCGAGGGUCGCGAGUUCGAGUCUCGUCAUCCGCUCCA